CAAUUACUCCCUCCGUUCGGAAUUAUUUGUCGUAGAAAGGGAUGUAUCUAGACGCAUUUUAGUUUUAGAUACAUCCAUUUCCAAGACAAGUAAUUCCGAACGGAGGGAGUAUAAC
rfam:Triticum urartu cultivar G1812 contig1452230, whole genome shotgun sequence.